UCGGAUGUGGUGUAUGGUGCACAUCAGCGUUCUAUUCACAGCCAGCAGCUAAUAUAGAGUCUAAGCUGAAGGUCGGGGUUCGAUUCCCUGCAUCCGAA